rnacentral:tRNA from 1 species
CGCGGAGUAGAGAAGUGGCAUCUCGCAAGGCUCAUAACCUUGAGGUCGUCUGUUCGAUUCAGACCUCCGCAACCA